rnacentral:rRNA from 1 species
UGGGGAAUCUUGGACAAUGGGCGCAAGCCUGAUCCAGCCAUGCCGCGUGAGUGAUGAAGGCCCUAGGGUUGUAAAGCUCUUUCACCGGUGAAGAUAAUGACGGUAACCGGAGAAGAAGCCCCGGCUAACUUCGUGCCAGCAGCCGCGGUAAUACGAAGGGGGCUAGCGUUGUUCGGAUUUACUGGGCGUAAAGCGCACGUAGGCGGACUAUUAAGUCAGGGGUGAAAUCCCGGGGCUCAACCCCGGAACUGCCUUUGAUACUGGUAGUCUUGAGUUCGAGAGAGGUGAGUGGAAUUCCGAGUGUAGAGGCGAAAUUCGUAGAUAUUCGGAGGAACACCAGUGGCGAAGGCGGCUCACUGGCUCGAUACUGACGCUGAGGUGCGAAAGCGUGGGGAGCAAACAGGAUUAGAUACCCCUGUAGUCCCUGAGCGGGCUGGCAAGGCGCAU